rnacentral:rRNA from 1 species
GAUGAACGCUGGCGGCGUGCUUAACACAUGCAAGUCGAACGAAGACAUCUGAGUGCUUGCACUUGGAUGGACUGAGUGGCGGACGGGUGAGUAACGCGUGGGUAACCUGCCUUAUACAGGGGGAUAACAGUUGGAAACGACUGCUAAUACCGCAUAAGCGCACGGUAUCGCAUGAUACAGUGUGAAAAACUCCGGUGGUAUAAGAUGGACCCGCGUCUGAUUAGCUUGUUGGUGAGGUAACGGCCCACCAAGGCGACGAUCAGUAGCCGGCCUGAGAGGGUGAACGGCCACAUUGGGACUGAGACACGGCCCAAACUCCUACGGGAGGCAGCAGUGGGGAAUAUUGCACAAUGGGGGAAACCCUGAUGCAGCGACGCCGCGUGAGUGAUGAAGUAUUCGGUAUGUAAAACUCUAUCAGCAGGGAAGAUAAUGACGGUACCUGACUAAGAAGCACCGGCUAAAUACGUGCCAGCAGCCG